CAGCAGCCACGGGAAUACGUAGGGUGCAAGCGUUAAUCGGAAUUACUGGGCGUAAAGCGUGCGCAGGCGGUUUGUUAAGACAGAUGUGAAAUCCCCGGGCUUAACCUGGGAACUGCAUUUGUGACUGGCAAGCUAGAGUAUGGCAGAGGGGGGUGGAAUUCCGCGUGUAGCAGUGAAAUGCGUAGAUAUGCGGAGGAACACCGAUGGCGAAGGCAGCCCCCUGGGCCAAUACUGACGCUCAUGCACGAAAGCGUGGGGAGCAAACAGGAUUAGAUAUCCCUGUAGUCCCUGUCUCUUAUAC
rnacentral:rRNA from 1 species